GGUCAGGAAUCUGGGGCCAGAAAAAAAAAAAAAAGAAAAAGAAAAAGAAUUUGGUGUGACAGCUUGUUUUUCGCUUUUCGAUUCGCCUUGCAGGAAGAUGUCGUAGUUACAAAUUUUAAAAAGGAUAACGAUAGUUUAGGCUGGGAGUUUUGCUAAAAAUGGUAUGUGUGAGUUUAUUCGUGCGAGAUCAAUUCGUCCACUUUUCGAUGGUGUUGUGAAUUUAUGAUUCCUUGUUACAGUUUUAGGAUAAAGUUCUACCACGCGGCGGGUGGGUGUCGGCCAUCACGAUUUGGUGGCGACAUGGGUGAAACGUGCGUGUUGUUAUGUUGUUGUGAUUAAGAAUUUUUUGGAAUUUAAUUGAAAUUUAAACAAUUUGAUAAGAAAAUCAUCAUCAUGGUCCCCUAACAACCUUAUAAUUUUAAAAACCAUGAUUGGGUUAUAAAAUAACGCUGAAAUUUGAGAGUUAACACGCGUUUUGCUCGCUUCACGUUUGGAUUGAGGAAGCGUGGACCGCCAGUAAUCCAUAGGAAUCUCUUGCAUCUUUUACCCUGCUCGUCCGUAUGACACACGGCCACAGUCUGCAUGAGCCGCGCGUCCGGAGCGAAGCUUGAAUUUUCGGAACAGGUGUUUCCCUAAAUCUUCAGGAUAUUAAGGUGGAUUCUCUCCAACAUAUUAACUUUUUUUUUUGUGAAGCUAAUUCAACUAUUUUUGUAUUUUGGUUUACGUUUAUAUUAAUUGAUGGUUUACACUAGAUUGUGACAUAUACGUUCCUAAAAUCGUAACUUAUCAUUAAGACGAGUAACCUAAGAUCAUAGUGAGGUGCGUUGAAUGCGGACAGCACCUUGAGAUAGUAUAAAGCAUCUCUCAUGUCUCUGUAACUAGUCGAGUUAACUUUAAAUGUAAAUCUAUAACCAACAACAGAAGAAUUAAAUAACUAUUUCUAAGGUA